UACGAAGGGGGCUAGCGUUGUUCGGAAUUACUGGGCGUAAAGCGCGCGCAGGCGGUCUUCCAAGUCAGUGGUGAAAGCCCGGAGCUCAACUCCGGAACUGCCAUUGAAACUGUAAGACUUGAGGAUGAGAGAGGUGAGUGGAAUUCCCAGUGUAGAGGUGAAAUUCGUAGAUAUUGGGAAGGACACCGGUGGCGAAGGCGGCUCACUGGCUCAUAUCUGACGCUCAGGCGCGACAGCGUGGGGAGCAAACAGG
rnacentral:rRNA from 1 species